ensembl:lncRNA
GGGGAAAUCUGGGUUUGAUUUUAACGGGGAGUAGCCUAACCCGGGCUCUCUUUACAUAUGGAUGUACUGGACGCUCUUCAGUCGCUCUGAGCUUCGGACGGGGAUGAGUUCGGUGGUUCAUCUCUCCUCCCGCCGCUAUCUUCUCACUUGUGCUUAACUAUUUUUUAAAAGGAGACGAACGUGAGAAAGUACGCCUCACUUUUUUCCCCUCGUUUGGAGAGGACGGUUUUUGACGGAGCACGAAGCUUGAUGCUAACGUGGAUCUCUCGCUUGUAGGACGUCUUUUAAAAGUACUAAGUCAGCGGCUCUACCGUCUUGUGACACUGGGACUGAGGUCGUGUAAGUUUCGGGUUGCUGAAUCACCGGGACGCGCUGGAUCAGAGCGGCGGACAUCACGAACAGGUGUCAGCCUCCACGGUUUACACCUGGCCCACGUGUCGCCGUAAAGGAAAAACAACAAUGUCAGCCCGUGCCGAGGUGCAAGAGGUGAGCUAUAUGAAAGCCAGCUUGCAUGCAACAGCUUCCAGGUUCGGGCACUGGCGCGUAAUCGGUGCAUUGGCCGCUUCUAAUAUUACCCCCUUUUCCGUUCGACGCCACCACGUGCAACUUGUGGUUUAAAAAAAAAAAGGGGGGACAUUUAUGCAUUAAAAAUGUUUAAAUUAAGACACAGUAGCUCGUUUGGAGAAAUAACUUGUCUUUAUUAUUAAAGGUCAGGAAAAUCUGUCUAAAUCAGGGUUGGCAAACAUAAGUCCCAGGGGCAAGAAUCGGCCGCCCAAGACUCCAAUCCGGCCCACUUGAUGGAAAAUGUGUAGGAGGACAUGAAUAUAUGACUUUUGACCGUCCUUUUACAAGUUUUGAAGCCUUUUUUUUUUUUUUUUUUUUUUUUUUUUUUUUUACUGAUCCAGACCUUCCCCAUUACCAUUCAUACUACCCCAAAGUAAAUAAAUAAUAGAUUUCUAUCAUUUUAAACAUUACUGCUACACAGAAUUUAAGCCCAAAGAGUUGUGCUGACAGAUUUCAUACAUUUACUGCAGCAGCAUUUCUUUAUCAUUUAGAAAUGCUGUUGAAAUUUGACUUUCUUUUUUUUUAUAUUAAAAUCUCUCUGGGUUUAAAUGUGUAGUUAAGCUUCUGCACACUGACAGAAAGGGGAGUUUCACUGGUACGGCCCACAUAAGAUCAAAGUAACGUGUAUGUGGUCCGUGAUGUAAAAUUAAUUUGAUACCUGUGCUCUAAACUCUAAAUAGCAAAUGAUGAUAAUACAUUUUUGCACUUAAGUCCACUUCCUGUCAGGGUGUGAUGGGGAAACAAUAGCCUUUACAAUACUGAUGAGGUUCACCCUCCCCGAGCUCAUCCACUUCUCUGCUCUCAAGCAGGUACAAGCCUGGAAGCGAAAGCGAGAAUCCCAUACCGAUGGCUUAUCUUAACUGCUUCAAUAGACUUAAAGUAUCCCCCUAUUGCGCUCUGAAACAGUGUCAGCCACUUGACCUACUUCUCACUCUCGCCGCAAACGCCUGGAAUCGGUGCACGAUGAGGGCCUCUGAAACCUUGCCGCUCGCCAAGGUCAGAAAGAAUGUGAAAUGUCAAGUCGAAGCCAGAGGAAAGCAGGGGGAGUUUAAUGCAUCUGAAGCGAAGGGCUGUUCA